rnacentral:rRNA from 1 species
CCUACGGGGGGCUGCAGUGGGGAAUAUUGCACAAUGGGGGAAACCCUGAUGCAGCGACGCCGCGUGAGUGAAGAAGUAUUUCGGUAUGUAAAGCUCUAUCAGCAGGGAAGAAAAUGACGGUACCUGAUCAAGAAGCCCCGGCUAACUACGUGACAGCAGCCGCGGUAAUACGUAGGGGGCAAGCGUUAUCCGGAUUUACUGGGUGUAAAGGGAGCGUAGACGGCAGCACAAGUCUGGAGUGAAAUGCCGGGGCUUAACCCCGGAACUGCAUUGGAAACUGUGCAGCUAGAGUGCAGGAGAGGUAAGUGGAAUGCCUGGUGUAGCGGUGAAAUGCGUAGAUAUUAGGAGGAACACCAGUGGCGAAGGCGGCUUACCGGACUGUAACUGACGUUGAGGCUCGAAAGCGUGGGGAGCAAACAGGAUUAGAUACCCCAGUAGUC